rnacentral:lncRNA from 1 species
GUGAGUGGGCUUGGUUUUCUUGAGACCCAGAAUGUUCGUUUCUGUCAGAGAUAAAGGCACGGACUUGAUUCUCCCUGCUGUGGGCGGGGCCAGGCCGGUGUGGCUGCGGGCCGGAGCCCGCGGAUGCGCGCGCCCGCCACCGGGGGCCGGCCUGGGCAGGCUGCCGCGGGGAGCGGCCCCCCGUGCUCUUUCUCAGGGACCCGGAGCUGGGUCUGCAGGUCCUAGUUGAGAAGCAUUGGUUUAAGUUUGCUUGCGUGGUGACCUUGAGCCAUUUCGAUUUGGGACGGGAGGCUGCAGGCCCUGAACUUGAGUGGCUGUGGGGUGGCAUGCCCGGGUGAGCCUGAGGCCUUCACGUGACUGGAAGUUCCACGGAAGUCAAGGGAGCAGGAAGUGCUUGUGGAGGAGAGGGCAGCAGCAGCGGUGAACUGCCCUUGUUAUUACAGCGCUGCCUGUCAGAAUCGCCAGCGUCCGCAGCACUUGAACCUGAGGGCAAGCAGAGCGUUUGUGAAAGGCACGAAUGGCUAAAUGUCCACUGAGAGGCACAGAGAGGGGCCGCCUCAUGCUUAGGCAGAAGAAAUGGCCCCAUAAAAUGCCCCUGUCCCCUCCCUGCGACAGUGUAGUCACAGGCAAGCUCCUGCCCCGGAACCGCAGCUCCUGGAAUGCCAGCGAGGAGAGUCAUGCUUCCAGGGAGAGCAGUCGCUGUCUCCAGAGUCUUAUUUUGAAAUGCAAAUACCCUGGCGAGGGUAAUAAAUACCCUGCCAUGUGACAAGGUGAGCCAAAACUGAAGAGGCGGGAGGGGCUGAGGUG